rnacentral:misc_RNA from 1 species
GGGCAUCAUACCAUCUCUUUUGUAACUGUGCUCUAUCCAAUCUCUACCUAUUUUAUUACUCUUAUGGGAUCAUAAAAUCCUUCAUGAAAUCUAUCUGUUAACAAGCUUGUUGUGGGCUUUGUUACCCUCUCUCUUUCUCAAGAUCACCUCAUAAACCUCUCCAAGAACAAUCAAGACCCACUUUCCAUACAUGGACUCCCUUCGAGAAUUUGACUCUACAUCCACCACUCUCCCACUUACCUCAAUAACUAGUACCACCACCGCCCCCACUGCCUCCUCCUCCUCCUCUUCCUCCACCUCCUCCACCUCCACUCUCAGCCGCUACGAGAACCAAAAGCGGCGAGACUGGAACACCUUCGGCCAAUACCUCCGCAACCACCGUCCCCCACUCUCCCUCUCACGGUGCAGCGGGGCUCACGUCCUGGAGUUCUUGCGCUAUCUAGACCAGUUUGGAAAAACCAAAGUCCACACUCAACUCUGCCCCUUCUUUGGCCACCCGAACCCCCCUGCCCCAUGCCCGUGUCCUCUCCGCCAGGCCUGGGGUAGCCUUGAUGCUCUCAUUGGCCGCCUUCGUGCUGCCUUUGAAGAGCAUGGGGGCAAGCCAGAGAACAAUCCUUUCGGGGCUCGUGCUGUUAGGCUUUAUCUACGUGAAGUUAGAGAUUCACAAGCUAAAGCUCGAGGAAUUAGCUACGAGAAGAAGAAGAGAAAGAGACCCCAACAGCAACAGCAGCAGAGUCCUGCAUUAUCGAUGGCACCACCACCAGCACCAGCGACCACUAGUGCAAGUGAUGAUCAUGAGUAAGAAUUAAAGUUACCACCCAUUUCAAUUAAAGAACAAGAGUGAGGGUAAAACUCAUUAGAAACUACUCUUUCAUAAUUUUAUUUGCAGUAUGACUAUGAGCUAGUACUCUUAUCUUCUUGUAUUAUAUUUGCGAUGUCUCUUAUUGGGUUUUAAGGAACUCCUUAGAUUGUUAGAUAAUGAACAUGGAUUUAUAUUAUAUUAUUGGGUUUUCUGUAGUCGUAGCAGUAGCAGUAAUAGUAGUAAUAGUAGAUGGAGCUGUAUGAACAUGUUUGUGACUUCAUCUCCUAUUUGUCA